AGCAGCCGCGGUAAUUCCAGCUCCAAUAGCGUAUAUUAAAGUUGUUGCAGUUAAAAAGCUCGUAGUUGAAUUUCGGGAUCAAGGAAUCGGUCAUGCCUUGGUAUGUACUGGUUUUAUUGGUUCUCACCUUCUAAAGAACCAUAAUGUCAUUUAUUUGAUGUUAUGGGGAAUUAGGACUGUUACCUUGAAAAAAUUAGAGUGUUUAAAGCAAGCUUACGCUUGAAUACAUUAGCAUGGAAUAAUGAAAUAGGACAUCAGAUUCUAUUUUGUUGGUUUCUAGGAUCGAUGUAAUGAUUAAUAGGGAUAGUUGGGGGCAUUAGUAUUCAAUUGUCAGAGGUGAAAUUCUUGGAUUUAUUGAAGACUAACUACUGCGAAAGCAUUUGCCAAGGAUGUUUUCAUUAAUCAAGAACGAAAGUUAGGGGAUCGAAGACGAUCAGAUACCGUCGUAGUCUUAACCAUAAACUAUGCCGACUAGGGAUCGGAUGAUGUUAAUUU
rnacentral:rRNA from 1 species